CACAUGGGAUGGCUCUUAAUGACAAAGGGCUUCGACACACACCUCCCCGUCGCCCUUAGGCUGUCCACCAGAGUCAAGAGUGCUUGAAAAUAGAAACCUGAAGGGAAAAAGGCUAGCUGAUGUAGUUUCUGCAUAGGCUUAAGGAGGUCACUGGCAAGUUUAGCCCAGAUAUUUGUGAGGUUGUUCCCUGGUUCCUGUUUGUCCUCAGGGCGACAAAGGAAAAACAAUGCUCCGUGGAAACCAGCUCUCCUGGCAUUGGGCAAAGAGCAGCAGUUCUCCUGUGCAGAGACAGAUCCAAACUAGCACGGUGAUUUAUUGAGAAUGGAAACCAGGACGUUACUCUGGAAAACAGGUCUGGGCUGAAACUGCAGAGCUGGAGCAGAGGAUUCUUUCUGGACGCUGGGCAGCUGAGAAGGAGACCUGACCAUUCCCCAAGACAUCUCUGAAGGGGCUGAUGACCAGCACUCCAGGCACACAAGGACCCUGGG